AUUCACUGAAAAUACUUUUACUCACACAAUAUUACCUAUUCCUCUUUAAUUUGUGUUUCUAGUGGAAACAUGUUGAAUUUCAGGGGUGAUGAAGAGAGGCAGCAGAAAGCAUAGGUAAAUUCCUAACCAAGUUUUAUCUGUCCUGGAUGAAUUAGCAGCUCUUGCUAAGCACUGCUCUGGCUCUGGCACCAGGGUGAGCCACCCACUUCUCCUCUGUCUCAGGUGGCAGCCCAGAAAAGCAGGUUAAUAACACCAAUCUCACAGAGAAGUCGUGAGCUUGCAUUUCUCAGCCAGAUUGGAGACAGCCAGAAAACAGCUGAGGCACCUCCAGAAAGAGGGUGAAAGGUGGGAUCCAGAAAAUCUGCUGGCACCAAUAGCAACUCUUGCCACACAGAAAUGCUCCCAGGGAAAUUAAUUUAAUUUAACAGGGCUAUCGGAGAACAUCUGUUCUUCCUCGUGGAUUUGCAGAGGUGGGUUCCUCCUCUUCUUCCU
rnacentral:lncRNA from 1 species